CGGGAUGUAGCGCAGUUUGGUAGCGCACAAGCAUGGGGUGUUUGGGGCCGCAGGUUCGAAUCCUGUCAUCCCGA
rnacentral:tRNA from 1 species